rnacentral:rRNA from 1 species
GACCGUGACCCCAGGUCAGGCGGGACCACCCGCUGAGUUUAA